GACGAACGCUGGCGGCGUGCUUAACACAUGCAAGUCGAACGGUAAGGCCCUUCUGGGGGUGCACGAGUGGCGAACGGGUGAGUAACACGCGAGUAACUUGCCCACCACUUAGGGAUAAAGAUCGGAAACUGGCGCUAGUACUGGAUAUGUGGUCCUGCCGCAUGGUGGGGGUUGGAAGGCUCCGGCGGUUGUGGGUGGACUCGCGGCCUACCAGCUUGGUGGUGGGGUGGUGGCCUGCCAAGGCGGCGGCGGGCAGCCGGCCUGGGAGGGUGACCGGCCACAAUGGGACUGGGAUUCGGCCCCGACGCCUACGGGGAGGAGCAGUGGGGGAUUUUGCACAAUGGGCGCGAGCCUGAUGCAGCAACGCCGCGUGCGGGAUAACGGCCUUCGGGUUGGAAACCGCUUUCAGCAUGGACGGAGCUUUUUGUGACGGUACCGGCAGAAGAAGCACCGGCUAACUACGUG
rnacentral:rRNA from 1 species